UUAACAAAAACAGAAAAUGAAUAGAACAGUAAAAUGAGCAACAUUGCAUACUCACUGUGCAGAGAAGUUUGGUUUCCAGCUCCCAACAUUUGAGAUAGUUGCUGUACAGAUGUUGAAGACCUUUUAAUUUUUGGCUACUGGGUUUACUUUAAAAUGUAAAAAAGAUUCUCCUUGUCUGAUAUUCCACUUAAAAAGAAAUAGUCGUACCAAGUUGACACAGAAGAAGGACAGAAUCGUGUUUCCUACUUUACAUUUCUUUCCUUUUCUGUAGUUGUCAUGACCAGCUGGCUAUCAUCAUCUUGUGCUUAACACGUGGCUAAAAGUCCAAAGAUUUAUGCAAAAUUAAUGGAAUUGUGAUUAACAAGGAAAAGAAAUGAGAAAAAAUUGGAGAUCUAAGAGAUCGUUGAACAGAUUUUGGAAGACCCUUUAAUUUUUGGCUACUGAAUUUACUUUAAAAUAGGAUGGAUGAGGAUUGGCUAGAACAAGUAAAAAAGAUUCUCUCUGUCUGAUAUUCCACUAUAAAAAAUAGUCCGUACCAAGUUGACACAAAGAAGGAUUUAAUUCAGAACAUGACACAAUCGUGUUUCAUACUUUACAUUUCUUUCCUUUUUCGUAGUUGUCAUGAACAGCUGGAUAGCAUCAUUUUGUGCUUAACAAGUGGCUAAAAGUCCAAGAUUUCCUGCAAAUUUAAAGCCAAAUUUAAUAGCAUGGUUAUUAACAGGGGAAAGAAAAUGAGGAAAAAG
rnacentral:lncRNA from 1 species